rnacentral:rRNA from 1 species
ACGCUCGACACCUACGGGUGGCAGCAGUGGGGAAUAUUGCACAAUGGGGGAAACCCUGAUGCAGCAACGCCGCGUGAAGGAAGACGGUUUUCGGAUUGUAAACUUCUGUUCUUAGUGAAGAUAGUGACGGUAGCUAAGGAGCAAGCCACGGCUAACUACGUGCCAACAGCCGCGGUAAUCUGAGCGGGCUGGCAAGGC